rnacentral:rRNA from 1 species
AUGAGAGUAACGAAGGGAGAGGUUCAGGACUGCGUGGCUUGGCACCAUGAGAAAUCAGGGAUAUUUACAGUUAGGAGCGCUUACAAACUCGCGGACUCUUUGAAGAGGAACAACAGCGCAUCAGCCUCUAGUUCUAUAAGCGAGCCGGAUGACCGUAAAGUUUGGGAUGCCAUCUGGAAAGCGAAGAUACCAAGCAAAAUUAAAAUAUUUGGUUGGAGAGCAGCCACCAACUCGCUAGCCACCAAACAUAAUGCUUGUAAAAGAACCAUUGCUACGGAUGAUGUAUGUGAGAUUUGUGGCAUGGGCAGGGAGGACGAAUUUCAUGCUAUCAUUGCAUGCACCAGGAGUCUGGCGUUAAGGCACGCAAUGAGAGAAUUCUGGGCUCUCCCAAAAGAAUCGGAGUGGAGAAAUACGGGACCGGAUUGGCUGCAGAUGCUGUUAAUUGCAAAUCCCGAGGAAGUCAGGAGGAAAAUCAUGUUGGUCCUAUGGCAGUCGUGGAAUCUGCGGAACAAUGUCAUUCAUGGUGAUGGAAAAGAGACAGUAUCGGGGGCGGUGCAGGGACUACUGAGGUUACAUGCGGAUCUGAUAGUAGCUGACGACGAUCCACUUGAGGAGAGGAAUAAAAACAAGCUUUCAACAUUCCCAACCAGGGCCAGUGUUUCUCUAAAGCCGGGUGCAACCAACUGGGCGGCUCCUGCUGCAGAUACAGUGAAGUUGAACACUGACGCUGCUUUUCUGCAUGAUACUGGUGAGGCCUGGGGAGGUGCAGUAGCCAGAGACCACCUGGGUCGGGUGCUCAUGUCCAUCGGCAAACGCCUAGAAUGCUGCCACUCAGUAGAAGAAGCAGAGGGUGCAGCUGUCGAGCUGGGAAUAACCACUUGUGCGGGUCUGUUCAGAGGACGUAUUAUCCUAGAAACAGACUGUGCGAACAUUGGUGGACUGCUCCAAUCGAACAGAAGGGGAGUGCAGAUCAGCCUGCCAUGCAGUCCUGUCCAAUGCCAAAAGGCAGCUGUCCGCUUUCUCCAGUUGGGAAGUGAGCGUCGUCAACCGCACCAAAAAUUCCUUGGCUCAUGCUUUAGCUGCUAUAGCUAG